rnacentral:rRNA from 1 species
CAGUCGCCACGGUAAUACAGAGGGUGCAAGCGUUAAUCGGAAUUACUGGGCGUAAAGCGCGCAUAGGUGGUUUGUUAAGUUGGAUGUGAAAUCCCCGGGCUCAACCUGGGAACUGCAUCCAAAACUGGCAAGCUAGAGUAUGGUAGAGGGUGGUGGAAUUUCCUGUGUAGCGGUGAAAUGCGUAGAUAUAGGAAGGAACACCAGUGGCGAAGGCGACCACCUGGACUGAUACUGACACUGAGGUGCGAAAGCGUGGGGAGCAAACAGGAUUAGAUACCCCAGUAGUCCCUGUCUCUUAUAC